rnacentral:rRNA from 1 species
GCGCGAGCAGGUGCGAAAGCAGGUCAUAGUGAUCCGGUGGUUCUGAAUGGAAGGGCCAUCGCUCAACGGAUAAAAGGUACUCCGGGGAUAACAGGCUGAUACCGCCCAAGAGUUCAUAUCGACGGCGGUGUUUGGCACCUCGAUGUCGGCUCAUCACAUCCUGGGGCUGAAGUAGGUCCCAAGGGUAUGGCUGUUCGCCAUUUAAAGUGGUACGCGAGCUGGGUUUAGAACGUCGUGAGACAGUUCGGUCCCUAUCUGCCGUGGGCGCUGGAGAACUGAGGGGGGCUGCUCCUAGUACGAGAGGACCGGAGUGGACGCAUCACUGGUGUUCGGGUUGUCAUGCCAAUGGCACUGCCCGGUAGCUAAAUGCGGAAGAGAUAAGUGCUGAAAGCAUCUAAGCACGAAACUUGCC